CCUGCCAGUGAAAUAUGCUUGUUUCAAAAAUCUCUCCACAGGGGGUCUGACCAUGCGCUAAAUUAAAGUGAACCCGCAAAUAGCUCAUUACAACAGCCGUUGUUUCUUGAAUCCCUUCUCUACUUGAAUAACUGUGGUAAUUCUAAAGCUAAUACAUGCAACAAACCCCUGAAUUUACGUGACGGGCGCGCAUUUAUUAAAACAAAACCAUCCGGCCUCGUGUCGUAUUUUGGUGACUCUAAAUAACUGAGCGAAUCGCACGGGCUCGUCCCGGCAACAAAUCUUUCAAGUGUCUGCCUUAUCAGGUUUCGUUGGCGGUUUAUGUGACCGCCAAGCCUGUAACGGUUAAUUAAGGAUCAGGGUCUGACUCCGGAAAGGGAGCCUGAAAAACAACUACCACUUCUAAGGAAGGCAGCAGGCGCGCAAAUUACCCAUUCUUGGCUCAAGGAGGUAGUGACAAAAAAUACCAAGGUGAG
rnacentral:rRNA from 1 species